GUGGGGAAUCUUGCGCAAUGGGCGAAAGCCUGACGCAGCCAUGCCGGGUGAAUGAUGAAGGUCUUAGGAUUGUAAAAUUCUUUCACCGGGGACGAUAAUGACGGUACCCGGAGAAGAAGCUCCGGCUAACUUCGUGCCAGCAGCCGCGGUAAUACGAAGGGGGCUAGCGUUGCUCGGAAUUACUGGGCGUAAAGGGCGCGUAGGCGGACAGCUUAGUCAGAGGUGAAAGCCCAGGGCUCAACCUUGGAAUUGCCUUUGAUACUGGCUGUCUUGAGUUUGGGAGAGGUGAGUGGAACUCCGAGUGUAGAGGUGAAAUUCGUAGAUAUUCGGAAGAACACCAGUGGCGAAGGCGGCUCACUGGCUCGAUACUGACGCUGAGGUGCGAAAGCGUGGGGAGCAAACAGGAUUAGAAACCCGGGUAGUCC
rnacentral:rRNA from 1 species